AAAUUGAAGAGUUUGAUCAUGGCUCAGAUUGAACGCUGGCGGCAGGCCUAACACAUGCAAGUCGAACGGUAACAGGAAGCAGCUUGCUGCUUCGCUGACGAGUGGCGGACGGGUGAGUAAUGUCUGGGAAACUGCCUGAUGGAGGGGGAUAACUACUGGAAACGGUAGCUAAUACCGCAUAACGUCGCAAGACCAAAGAGGGGGACCUUCGGGCCUCUUGCCAUCGGAUGUGCCCAGAUGGGAUUAGCUAGUAGGUGGGGUAACGGCUCACCUAGGCGACGAUCCCUAGCUGGUCUGAGAGGAUGACCAGCCACACUGGAACUGAGACACGGUCCAGACUCCUACGGGAGGCAGCAGUGGGGAAUAUUGCACAAUGGGCGCAAGCCUGAUGCAGCCAUGCCGCGUGUAUGAAGAAGGCCUUCGGGUUGUAAAGUACUUUCAGCGGGGAGGAAGGCGAUAAGGUUAAUAACCUUG
rnacentral:rRNA from 1 species